ACGGUACCUGGAGAAGAAGCACCGGCUAACUACGUGCCAGCAGCCGCGGUAAUACGUAGGGUGCGAGCGUUAAUCGGAAUUACUGGGCGUAAAGCGUGCGCAGGCGGUUUGGUAAGUCAGAUGUGAAAUCCCCGGGCUCAACCUGGGAACUGCAUUUGAGACUGCCAAGCUGGAGUUUGGCAGAGGGGGGUGGAAUUCCACGUGUAGCAGUGAAAUGCGUAGAGAUGUGGAGGAACACCGAUGGCGAAGGCAGCCCCCUGGGCCAAUACUGACGCUCAUGCACGAAAGCGUGGGGAGCAAACAGGAUUAGAUACCCUGGUAGUCCACGCCCUAAACGAUGUCAACUAGGUGUUGGGAGGGUUAAACCUUUUAGUGCCGUAGCUAACGCGUGAAGUUGACCGCCUGGGGAGUACGGCCGCAAGGCUAAAACUCAAAGGAAUUGACGGGGACCCGCACAAGCGGUGGAUGAUGUGGAUUAAUUCGAUGCAACGCGAAAAACCUUACCUACCCUUGACAUGUCAGGAAUCCCGGAGAGAUUCGGGAGUGCUCGAAAG
rnacentral:rRNA from 1 species